GCAAUUUAUCUUUGAUUGGUGAACCAUCACAAAUUAAGGAGAAUACAUCCACAUCUCCCUCCCCUCAUCCAGAGCCUCCUCAGGAAUAAUCACCUCUUCAGGUGGCCUCUGGGUCGGCGACAAGCCAUUCGACUUCCCUAUUCCAGUUAUCCUUGUGCAGAUUAUCCUCAUCUUCGUCAUCUCUCGUCUCAUUCGUUCCAUCCUCAAGCACUUAGGCCAACCCCAAUUUAUCUCCGAUCUCAUGUUGAGGGUCUUUAAUGAAAUUUAUCUCCAAAAUUGAGAGUUCACGAGACUACAAAGGUCCCAUCGGCCCUCGAUUUAGGCCCAUCGGUCUCCGAUCCGAACAAGAAGCUCCUAGUCAUCAAGCGCGCCUCCAAAGACCGCCC